rnacentral:rRNA from 1 species
UACCAGCACCCCGAGUGGUCGGGACGUUUAUUGGGCCUAAAGCAUCCGUAGCCGGUUCUACAAGUCUUCCGUUAAAUCCACCUGCUUAACAGAUGGGCUGCGGAAGAUACUAUAGAGCUAGGAGGCGGGAGAGGCAAGCGGUACUCGAUGGGUAGGGGUAAAAUCCGUUGAUCCAUUGAAGACCACCAGUGGCGAAGGCGGCGUCCUGGACCAACACUGACACUGAGGAGCGAAAGCCAGGGGAGCAAACGGG